UACGUAGGGUGCAAGCGUUGUCCGGAAUUAUUGGGCGUAAAGAGCUCGUAGGCGGUUUGUCGCGUCUGCUGUGAAAACUCGGGGCUUAACCCCGGGCCUGCAGUGGGUACGGGCAGACUAGAGUGCGGUAGGGGAGACUGGAAUUCCUGGUGUAGCGGUGAAAUGCGCAGAUAUCAGGAGGAACACCGGUGGCGAAGGCGGUGGUCUGGGCCUGAACUGACGCUGAGGAGCGAAAGCCAGGGGAGCAAACGGG
rnacentral:rRNA from 1 species